rnacentral:rRNA from 1 species
AACGAACGCUGGCGGCGCGUCUUAAGCAUGCAAGUCGAACGGCAAGAUUGGUGCUUGCACCGAUCCUAGAGUGGCGGACUGGUGAGUAACGCGUGGGUGACGUACCCUAAGGAUGGGGAUAGCUGGUAGAAAUAUCAGAUAAUACCGAAUAUCCUUAUUGUUGUUAGAGGACAGUAAGGAAAGGAGCUUUUGCUUCGCCUAAGGAUCGGCCCGCGUACUAUUAGCUAGUUGGUGAGGUAACGACUCACCAAGGCGACGAUAGUUAUCCGGCCUAAGAGGGUGAACGGACACAUUGGGAAUGAGAUACGGCCCAGAAUCCUACUGGAGGCAGCAGCUAAGAAUAUUCCGCAAUGGAGGAAACUCUGACGGAGCGACGCCGCGUGGAUGAUUAAGGCCGGAAGGUUGUAAAAUCCUUUUAAGCAAGAAGAAUAAACUUUACAGGGAAUGGUAGAGUGGUGACGGUAUUGCUUGAAUAAGCAACGGCUAAUUACGUGCCAGCCGCCGCAGUAAUAC